UACGUAGGGUGCGAGCAUUGUCCGGAGUUAUUGGGCGUAAAGAGCUUGUAGGCGGUUUGUCGCGUCUGCUGUGAAAAUCCGGGGCUCAACCCCGGACUUGCAGUGGGUACGGGCAGACUAGAGUGUGGUAGGGGAGACUGGAAUUCCUGGUGUAGCGGUGAAAUGCGCAGAUAUCAGGAGGAACACCGAUGGCGAAGGCAGGUCUCUGGGCCACUACUGACGCUGAGAAGCGAAAGCAUGGGGAGCGAACAGGAUUAGA
rnacentral:rRNA from 1 species